UUUAUAUGAGAGUUUGAUCCUGGCUCAGGAUGAACGCCGGCGGUGUGCCUAAUACAUGCAAGUCGAACGCGUUGGCCCAAUUGAUUGAUGGUGCUUGCACCUGAUUGAUUUUGGUYGCCARCGAGUGGCGGACGGGUGAGUAACACGUAGGUAACCUGCCCAGAAGCGGGGGACAACAUUUGGAAACAGAUGCUAAUACCGCAUAACARCGUUGUUCGCAUGAACAACGCUUAAAAGAUGGCUUCUCGCUAUCACUUCUGGAUGGACCUGCGGUGCAUUAGCUUGUUGGUGGGGUAACGGCCUACCAAGGCGAUGAUGCAUAGCCGAGUUGAGAGACUGAUCGGCCACAAUGGGACUGAGACACGGCCCAUACUCCUACGGGAGGCAGCAGUAGGGAAUCUUCCACAAUGGGCGCAAGCCUGAUGGAGCAACACCGCGUGAGUGAAGAAGGGUUUCGGCUCGUAAAGCUCUGUUGUUAAAGAAGAACACGUAUGAGAGUAACUGUUCAUACGUUGACGGUAUUUAACCAGAAAGUCACGGCUAACUACGUGCCAGCAGCCGCGGUAAUACGUAGGUGGCAAGCGUUAUCCGGAUUUAUUGGGCGUAAAGAGAGUGCAGGCGGUUUUCUAAGUCUGAUGUGAAAGCCUUCGGCUUAACCGGAGAAGUGCAUCGGAAACUGGAUAACUUGAGUGCAGAAGAGGGUAGUGGAACUCCAUGUGUAGCGGUGGAAUGCGUAGAUAUAUGGAAGAACACCAGUGGCGAAGGCGGCUACCUGGUCUGCAACUGACGCUGAGACUCGAAAGCAUGGGUAGCGAACAGGAUUAGAUACCCUGGUAGUCCAUGCCGUAAACGAUGAGUGCUAGGUGUUGGAGGGUUUCCGCCCUUCAGUGCCGGAGCUAACGCAUUAAGCACUCCGCCUGGGGAGUACGACCGCAAGGUUGAAACUCAAAGGAAUUGACGGGGGCCCGCACAAGCGGUGGAGCAUGUGGUUUAAUUCGAAGCUACGCGAAGAACCUUACCAGGUCUUGACAUCUUGCGCCAACCCUAGAGAUAGGGCGUUUCCUUCGGGAACGCAAUGACAGGUGGUGCAUGGUCGUCGUCAGCUCGUGUCGUGAGAUGUUGGGUUAAGUCCCGCAACGAGCGCAACCCUUGUUACUAGUUGCCAGCAUUAAGUUGGGCACUCUAGUGAGACUGCCGGUGACAAACCGGAGGAAGGUGGGGACGACGUCAGAUCAUCAUGCCCCUUAUGACCUGGGCUACACACGUGCUACAAUGGACGGUACAACGAGUCGCGAACUCGCGAGGGCAAGCAAAUCUCUUAAAACCGUUCUCAGUUCGGACUGCAGGCUGCAACUCGCCUGCACGAAGUCGGAAUCGCUAGUAAUCGCGGAUCAGCAUGCCGCGGUGAAUACGUUCCCGGGCCUUGUACACACCGCCCGUCACACCAUGAGAGUUUGUAACACCCAAAGUCGGUGGGGUAACCUUUUAGGAGCCAGCCGCCUAAGGUGGGACAGAUGAUUAGGGUGAAGUCGUAACAAGGUAGCCGUAGGAGAACCUGCGGCUGGAUCACCUCCUUUCUA
rnacentral:rRNA from 2 species